rnacentral:tRNA from 1 species
GGUCCUGUCGUCUAGUCCGGCUUAGGACGCAUGGUUCUCAUCCAUGUAACAUGGGUUCAAAUCCCAUCAGGACCA